CGAGAGCCACAUGGAUCGAAUGCGGCAGCCUUCCAGGCCGACCUUCGAGCUCCUGACACCAAUGAUGACCCUCCUUCAGACCCGGGCAAUCCCGAAGAUGACGUUGAAGUCGUCUAAAGCUCUCUUCUUUUUUUUUUGUUUGAUUGACUCUUGAACUCGAAUGGGCCGCCGGCCCUUUUGUAAUAUAUUUUAUUUUGAAUUUCACUUCUCCGACAGCUUGCGCCUACUUCUUCCAAAAAGCGGAAGUAUUACUUUUUUUUUUGUAUUUCCCUUACCCGUAAAAGUGGAAAUAUGCUUCUUUUUUAGCUUGAAAUUGGUGAUUUUCCUAUAUAGUCUUGCCCCGACUGCCAGUUUUGCUCCAGUAAAAGGCGGGGGUGAUAGGUAUAAAU
rnacentral:lncRNA from 1 species